UCCUGACUGACCGAUAGUGAACCAGUACCGUGAGGGAAAGGCGAAAAGAACCCCUGUGAGGGGAGUGAAAUAGAUCCUGAAACCGCAUGCAUACAAGCAGUGGGAGCACCUUCGUGGUGUGACUGCGUACCUUUUGUAUAAUGGGUCAGCGACUUAUAUUCAGUAGCAAGGUUAACCGUAUAGGGGAGCCGUAGAGAAAUCGAGUCUUAAUAGGGCGUUUAGUUGCUGGGUAUAGACCCGAAACCAGGCGAUCUAUCCAUGAGCAGGUUGAAGGUUGGGUAACACUAACUGGAGGACCGAACCCACUGUCGUUGAAAAGCCAGGGGAUGACUUGUGGAUAGGGGUGAAAGGCUAAUCAAGCCUGGUGAUAGCUGGUUCUCCCCGAAAGCUAUUUAGGUAGCGCCUCGGACGAAUACCAUAGGGGGUAGAGCACUGUUUCGGCUAGGGGGUCAUCCCGACUUACCAAACCGAUGCAAACUCCGAAUACCUAUGAGUACUAUCCGGGAGACAGACUGCGGGUGCUAACGUCCGUAGUCAAGAGGAAAACAAUCCAGACCGCCAGCUAAGGCCCCAAAAUCAUAGUUAAGUGGGAAACGAUGUGGGAAGGCAUAGACAGCUAGGAGGUUGGCUUAGAAGCAGCCACCCUUUAAAGAAAGCGUAAUAGCUCACUAGUCGAGUCGGCCUGCGCGGAAGAUGUAACGGGGCUAAAA
rnacentral:rRNA from 1 species